rnacentral:rRNA from 1 species
UCGGGAAUUUUGUGCAAUGGGCGAAAGCCUGACACAGCAACGCCGCGUGAAGGAUGAAGUCCCUCGGGAUGUAAACUUCGUAAGAAUAGGAAGAAUAAAUGACGGUACUAUUUGUAAGGUCCGGCUAACUACGUGCCAGCAGCCGCGGUAAUACGUAGGGACCAAGCGUUGUUCGGAUUUACUGGGCGUAAAGGGUGCGUAGGCGGCAUAUCAAGUCACUUGUGAAAUCUCCGGGCUUAACUCGGAACUGCCAAGUGAUACUGAUGUGCUAGAGUGCAGAAAGGGCAACUGGAAUUCUUGGUGUAGCGGUGAAAUGCGUAGAUAUCAAGAGGAACACCUGAGGCGAAGGCGAGUUGCUAGGCUGACACUGACGCUGAGGUACGAAAGCUAGGGGAGCAAACAGGAUUAGAUACCCAAGUAGUCCCUGAGCGGGCUGGCAAGGCGCAU